rnacentral:rRNA from 1 species
CACGUAGUUAGCCGUGGCUUCCUCCUCUGGUACCGUCAUUAUCGUCCCAGAAGACAGAGCUUUACAACCCGAAGGUCCUUCAUCACUCACGCGGCGUUGCUGCAUCAGGCUUUCGCCCAUUGUGCAAUAUUCCCCACUGCUGCCUCCCGUAGGAGUCUGGACCGUGUCUCAGUUCCAAUGUGGCCGGUCACCCUCUCAGGCCGGCUACGCAUCGUUGCCUUGGUGGGCCGUUACCUCACCAACCAGCUAAUGCGCCGCGGGUCCAUCUUGUAGCGGAUUGCUCCUUUGGUCACGCUAACAUGCGUCAGCAUGACAUUAUGCGGUAUUAAUCCUCCUUUCGGAGGGCUAUCCCCCUCUACAAGGCAGGUUACCCACGUUGUUACUCACCCGUCCGCCGCUAGGACUAAAAGUCCCCGACUCGACUUGCAUGUGUUAGGCACGCCGCCAGCGUCGUCUGAGCCGAGACUCGAAACUACCUCUCGUAGACGUUGCCUAA